AUUGUUUAUAAAUAAUUACAGCUCUCUUUCAUGUUGCAGCAUUCUGGGUGGAAGAAGAGAAGGGAAUUGGGCCUGUUAACCUUCGCACGUAACCAAGGAGCCGUUUAUGACUGGCCAGGUGCAAAUGCCAUAUCUAAUCUUUCCCUGUGUCUGCCGUGCAGCAGCUGCAGCAGUUGGAGGGAGUUGGGGAGUUAUUAAAUAUCAAGGAAAUGUUUGUGCCAGGACUGUCUACUUCUGGGUGUUCUGCUAUUAUACAGAAUUAAUAUUUGGAUUCAAACACAUUUUUCUGCAGGAGCUGGAAGGCUGAUGUCUCCUGGGCCAUAGCCCAGCCAUUUGUCAUGCCUGAUGCCAUUUUUGGAAGUAGACCUUUAGCUCUGAAAAUAAGCAAGCCCAAAGUGGCUGGGCCAGGAGACCCACACUGCAGAAGGAGAUGGGCAAGGAGAGCAGCACGCUCUUCCCUUUCUUUGAACUUACGGAACUUAUUACCAGGAACUCUGGGUCUGUAAUAACUGUUUCUGACUUUACUCUGUAUUCUCUUUUACAGGGGACUAUAUUUGAACCUUGGAUACCAUGGUGAUAACGUUAUUCCCUUUUUGUGCUUUUGUGGCUGGGCUGGGCUGAGUGGAAGUUAGGGGGCUUCUGCAUCACCUCUCCUCAGCUGUUUCACUUCCCUCUCCCUGGGGUAGUGGUCUUGCUUUCCAUAACACUAUGGCCCAGCUGUUUUAAAAAGAAACAAUUUUGAAUUGUAACGUUUGCCAAUUUUUGUGGUGCAAAUACUCCCUCUAUGGUUGAUUUCAAGCUGCUAAUGGUUUAGUACCCAGGUUGCAAAAUUCCUGAAUAUUUAAAAAUUGUCUCUCUCACCACCUGAAUCCAGCACACCCCUGUCUGUUAAUAUGUAAUGGAGAGAGUCUGAUGUAGGUUCAGGACAUAUGGCCUUGGGCUCUCCUGCAUCUUUACUUACAUGGUGCUGUAGCAUGACUCAACCAUUCUGAGCUUCGAUUUCCUUCCUCAAUUGCAAAACAAGAAAGUUGAAGCAAUCAGUUUCUUUUACUUAAUUUUUUUUCAAGGCACCUGAGGAAGAGUUUAUGUCAUGUGAAUUAAUCAGGGAAAGCCAACAUAGUUUUUUUUUUUUUUUUUUUUUCUUUUGAGGUGGAGACUCUCUCUGUCGCCCAGGCUGCAGUGCAGUG
rnacentral:lncRNA from 1 species